GAAGUAUUAAAAAUAAAAAAAAAUAAGAAAAAAAAAAAAAUGCAGGCAGAAGGAGGGUUUUAGGUAGGAGAUGGGGGAGAGAAAGGGCUUCAGGGAGGAGUGCCGGCUUGCCAUCAAUGGAGCCAGUGAGCCACCCUAGCAUCAGAAUAAGAAUUAAAAGAAAAAAUAUACCAGAGAACGAGAAGAAGAGCAGCGGGCUAGGAGAAGAA